CAGGCAGUCUAUGAGUCGUAACGUAGUAUUCAUACAGGAGGCAAUUUAGCCUUCUUUACAAGCUAUGGGGAAAGUCCCCGUGUACUUUUAAAUCGAAAGGAAAACGUUAAUUUGUGGUCCCUCUACAUUCUUGAGUAUAUGAGAGGCAUUAAGUUGUUGAAUAUUCACUCUACAAGUGACCUUGUAGAGUGAAGCUCAAGUUGGGAGCGACUUACAAUUGCACAUUUCACUGUGUAUGAGACCAUUAAGCUAAUAUAUGACUAGUAUCUAGUAAGAUUUGAUACAACAGAAUGGGGCUUAUACUUGAUUUGCCU
rnacentral:RNase_MRP_RNA from 2 species